GCCGGCCGUGGGGAGCGGACGCAGUGAUUUGCUCCCCCUCGUGCAGCAACCCCCACACCCAGCACCAGGAGCCUGUUCCUCUCACGCCCUCACCUGGCUGAGCCGCAGUAGUUCUUCAGUGGCAAGCUUUAUGUCCUGACCCAGCUAAAGCUGCCAGUUGAAGAACUGUUGCCCUCUGCCCCUGGCUUCGAGGAGGAGGAGGAGCUGCUUUCCCCAUCAUCUGGAAGGCUUUCUGCCUCCGAGAUGUGGCACCAUAGUGCGGUGCCCUGUGGCUUCACCGCCCUACUUCCACCUCCGCCCAGCCUGUAAUGUUUAUAUAAGCAGCCUCAAGGACCAAGAACCAUCUGCGAAAGGACACACACAGGAAAUUCAUAAAAGAAAUCUGAAUGGAUAAAACCAUGAAAAAAAGUAUGCUUCAUUAGUAAUUAAAGAAAGGCAAAUAGAGCUGGAAGCAUUUUUCCCUUAGCAAACCAUAACAGAAAAAAAUAAGACCCAAUAUUGGCAAAGAGACUACUGAAAAAACAUUCCCAUACAU
rnacentral:lncRNA from 10 species